rnacentral:rRNA from 1 species
UUCGAUGGAUAGGGGUUCUGAGAGGAAGGUCCCCCACAUUGGAACUGAGACACGGUCCAAACUCCUACGGGAGGCAGCAGUGAGGAAUAUUGGUCAAUGGGCGAGAGCCUGAACCAGCCAAGUAGCGUGAAGGAUGACUGCCCUAUGGGUUGUAAACUUCUUUUAUAAAGGAAUAAAGUCGGGUAUGGAUACCCGUUUGCAUGUACUUUAUGAAUAAGGAUCGGCUAACUCCGUGCCAGCAGCCGCGGUAAUACGGAGGAUCCGAGCGUUAUCCGGAUUUAUUGGGUUUAAAGGGAGCGUAGAUGGAUGUUUAAGUCAGUUGUGAAAGUUUGCGGCUCAACCGUAAAAUUGCAGUUGAUACUGGAUAUCUUGAGUGCAGUUGAGGCAGGCGGAAUUCGUGGUGUAGCGGUGAAAUGCUUAGAUAUCACGAAGAACUCCGAUUGCGAAGGCAGCCUGCUAAGCU